GUUCAAACGCAGCUUAUCGCGCAGAGACGUUCCUAGCGCGCAAACUUUUAUCCUACAGAAAAUCCAAUUUUUCACGUUUAAUUCUUUACACGUACCAUACGUCGUCGGACCACUGGCUCGAGAGAUUUAUUAAAGGGGAGUUAUUUGGCCGAUAAAUUACACGCACCGCGGAGCGGAAUGGAACACCGAGCUUAAGCUUUGCGGUUCAUCGACAAGUUGAAUUUCAGCUCCGUUGACUUUGGGAAGUGAGGUCGACAUCACGGAUAUGUCAAGAUUGCUGGAAAAUUUCUUGAUCAAUGGACUCGACGCCGCGCCGGUGAACGUCGGUGCUCAAAACCGCACUCCGGUUCGCCAACAAACAGGUACGGAACUGCGGAGUAGCAGCCUAUGUUGGUGAUCGACCUCCCCGUAUGCCGUUGCACCUGUUGCACGCUAUCGCAUACUUGUGCGAUAAAUAAUUUUACAAUAUCGACUACUCGCGUAUGUCUGCACGAGCAAUACUGUUCGCUGAAUGUAACAUAAGAUAACACACCUCGCGCAAUCUCCAGUUACUGGAAGCAAUAAAUAUCUAACAGUUUCAAAUACGAAGUACAAGGCAGUACGAGCCAGGACAGGAUGUUAGUGUCUGAAUAAUUAUAAUUGUAAGUCCAUUGGGAAAAAUAAUACCUCAGCCAGGGUUUUGUCGCGAUAGGCCUAAAAUUGAAAUUAUUUAGACACCAACACCCUUGGCUCUUACUCCCUUAUUACUUCGUAUUUGUGUUUUCACAUUAGAGCCUCGUGGAUUUUAUCAAUUUUCAAAUAUAUUUCCGCUAUUCAAUGACAUCUAAAUAUAAGGAACUAUUCGUAAUAGAUGAAUUAUUAAUAUAAAUCAUUAUUAAUAUAAAAAUUCGUAAUAUAACGUAAGAAAUAUUCGUAAAGAAACUGUUGAGAAAGUACUAGCGGUUUUACGAAAAAAUGUUCAUAUUCUUUGAAAAACUAAAUAAAUGGAGACUAACGUUUUUGUAAUUGCGCGUUGAAAGAGAGCAACGUAGCUUUGGAAAUGAGCAAGAAAUUACAUAAACCGUGCGUGGGUAAUACGUCCGCGAAUUCCAAGGAAACAUGCGUUUGCGCGGGUUAACGAGUUGAGUCGAAUGCUGUAUUUGCGUGUGUGGGUUAGUCGAGGUCUAUAGCCACACGCAAGGGAAUUGUCGACGCAAAUGAUAAGAAAACGUUGUUAAUUACAGCGGAAACGACUGGCCAGUUGGUUUUUGCAUCGUCAACGUUCGCUGAUUUACGUAUCGCGUUUACCCAGAAAUACGCAGCGGCAUGCAUUACGAAAUUUCUUCGCUACAUUUACUUAUUUCGCUUACUCUUUCCGCUUGGUUCCUUUUGCAUUACUUUUUACGCUUCUUCUCUUUCUUAUUUUCUUUUACUUUCUUGUACUUAUUUCGUGCGUCUUCUGGAAACUGCACGUGACAGAUUAUCCACACUUCUCAUUUAUAAUCUGUCGCGGUUUUUAUUUUUCAAACAAGCUCUCCUCUGUACGCCUUAAGGGAUUAAAGCUCAAAGAGUAUGAUAAAU